rnacentral:tRNA from 1 species
GGGGUUGUGGCUCAGUGGUAGAGCCCUUGCUUAGCAUGUGUGAGGUACUGGGUUCGAUCCUCAGCACCUCA